rnacentral:tmRNA from 1 species
GGGGACGACAUGGUUUCGACGGGAGUCGAGGAGUCAAGAACAGCAUGCCGAGGUUUUUUCAGGUCCUCGUUAAACAACUGAAAGCUAAAUGUAAACGCAGACAAUUAUGCGUAUGCUUUGGCUGCCUAAUUGAAUUAAGCAGCCCGUCCGCCUGAGUCUGGCCACAAAGCUCAGGUUGGACGUCGACUUCUGUGGCUAUAUCGUCGGUUUUGCUUGAGGGCCGGCGAUGAAUUUCUUCAAGCUGGUCUCGGCGGGUUUUGUUUGUUGAACCUGCCGGGAUGAGAACCAAUCAACAAACUAAGCAUGUAGACGUUCUUGGUGACUGUCUCUCGGACGUGGGUUCGAUUCCCACCGUCUCCACCA